rnacentral:lncRNA from 1 species
GGCACUGGUGUGUGCUGGGGGGCAGGGGCAGUGCUGCUGGGGCCUACUGGGAGCACUGGGGUGCACUGGUGGGGUCCGGUGCAUACUGGUGUGUACUGGUGGGCACUGGUGCGCAGGGGCAGCGCUGGUGUGGGGUCACUGGGACCGACUGGGAGCACUGGUGGGCGCUGGUGGGGUUUGGUGGGCACUGGGGGGCGCUGGGGGGCGCUGCUGGGUAUUGGGGGGUAUUGGUGUGUACUGGUGCGUACUGGUGUAUACUGGUGCUGACUGGGGGAUGUUGGUGGGCACUGGUUUAUACUGGUGGGCGCUGGGGGAUGCUGGUGUGCACUGCUGGAUAUUGGGGGGUAAUGGUGUGUACUGGUGCAUACUGGUGCAUACUGGUGCGCCCCGGUGCUGACUGGGGGGUGUUGGUGGGCACUGGUUCAUGCUGGUGGGUACUGGGGGGUGCUGGUGGGCACUGUUGGGUAUUGGGGGGUAAUGGUGUGUAAUGGUGCAUACUGGUGCAUACUGGUGUGCCCCAGUGCUGACUGGGGGGUGUUAGUGGGAACUGGUUCAUACUGGGGGGCGUUGGUGGGCGCUGGUUCGUACUGGUGCUCGCUGGGGGGCGCUGUUGCGUACUGAUUCAUACUGGUGCUCGCUGGGGUGCGCUGGGAGGUGCCGGUGCGUACUGGUUGGUACUGGUUUGUACUGGUGGGUACUGGUGCUGACGGGGGCGCGGGGCAGAGGCGCGGGAGUGCGUGAACUGUGGCGCCACGGCCACCCCGCUAUGGCGGCGCGACGGCACCGGCCACUACCUGUGCAACGCCUGCGGCCUCUACCACAAGAUGAACGGCCACAACCGGCCCCUCAUCCGCCCCAAGAAGCGCCUGGCCCUGCUGUGCCUCAAACCCACCCCCAUUGCCCCCCAACGGCCACAACCGGCCCCUCAUCCACCCCAAGAAGUGCCUGGUGAGCCCCGAAACGGCCCCCACGCCCCGAAAACCCCCCCGUACACACCCCAAAACUGCCCAGCUGCGCCCCAAAACCGCCCCGCUGCACCCCAAAACUGCCUCAUUGCGCCUCAAACCUGCCCCUGAUGGCCACAACCGGCCCCUCAUCCGCCCCAAGAAGCGC